GCCGAAGUGGCGGAACUGGCAGACGCGCUGUCUUGAGGGGGCAGUGGCCUUCGGGCCGUGCGGGUUCGACUCCCGCCCUCGGCA
rnacentral:tRNA from 1 species